rnacentral:tRNA from 1 species
UAAAGUAUAGCUCAAUGGCAGAGUGUGUACUUAGCAUGCACGAGGUCCUGGGUUCAAUUGCCAGUAUCUUCA